rnacentral:rRNA from 1 species
GACGAACGCUGGCGGCGUGCCUAAUACAUGCAAGUAGAACGCUGAAGGAGGAGCUUGCUCUUCUGGAUGAGUUGCGAACGGGUGAGUAACGCGUAGGUAACCUGCCUGGUAGCGGGGGAUAACUAUUGGAAACGAUAGCUAAUACCGCAUAACAGUAGAUGUUGCAUGACAUUUACUUAAAAGGUGCAAUUGCAUCACUACCAGAUGGACCUGCGUUGUAUUAGCUAGUUGGUGGGGUAACGGCUCACCAAGGCGACGAUACAUAGCCGACCUGAGAGGGUGAUCGGCCACACUGGGACUGAGACACGGCCCAGACGCCUACGGGAGGCAGCAGUAGGGAAUCUUCGGCAAUGGACGGAAGUCUGACCGAGCAACGCCGAGUGAGUGAAGAAGGUUUUCGGAUCGUAAAGCUCUGUUGUAAGAGAAGAACGAGUGUGAGAGUGGAAAGUUCACACUGUGACGGUAUCUUACCAGAAAGGGACGGCUAACUACGUG